GGCCCCAUCGUCUAGCCUGGUUUAGGACAUCUGGUUUUCAUCCAGAAGAUCACCGGUUCAAAUCCGGUUGGGGCCG
rnacentral:tRNA from 1 species